rnacentral:rRNA from 1 species
UUACCUGGUCUUGACAUCCACGGAAGUUUUCAGAGAUGAGAAUGUGCCUUCGGGAACCGUGAGACAGGUGCUGCAUGGCUGUCGUCAGCUCGUGUUGUGAAAUGUUGGGUUAAGUCCCGCAACGAGCGCAACCCUUAUCCUUUGUUGCCAGCGGUCCGGCCGGGAACUCAAAGGAGACUGCCAGUGAUAAACUGGAGGAAGGUGGGGAUGACGUCAAGUCAUCAUGGCCCUUACGACCAGGGCUACACACGUGCUACAAUGGCGCAUACAAAGAGAAGCGACCUCGCGAGAGCAAGCAGGACCUCAUAAAGUGCGUCGUAGUCCGGAAUCUCGGAUUACUGCUAACGGGACUCCAUGAAGUCGAAGUCACACUACUCAUGUCUGUACACACCCACCCCGG